rnacentral:rRNA from 1 species
AAUGAACGCUGGCGGCGUGCCUAACACAUGCAAGUCGAACGAGAAAGGGAUUGCUUGCGAUCCUGAGUAGAGUGGCGCACGGGUGAGUAACACGUAGAUAAUCUACCUUCAAGCCCGGGAUAACUAUUCGAAAGGAUAGCUAAUACCGGAUGAAGUGGUUUGACAUAUGUUGAAUCAUAAAAGAUUGCCUCUUCUUGAAAGCAAUUGUUUGGAGAUGAGUUUGCGGACCAUUAGUUUGUUGGUGGGGUAAAGGCCUACCAAGACUACGAUGGUUAGCUGGUCUGAGAGGAUGAUCAGCCACACUGGAACUGGUACACGGUCCAGACUCCUACGGGAGGCAGCAGUGAGGAAUUUUGCGCAAUGGGGGCAACCCUGACGCAGCAACGCCGCGUGAGUGAAGAAGGCCUUUGGGUCGUAAAGCUCUGUCGAUAGGGAAGAAGUUACAGAUAUCCAAUAGGUAUGUGUAUGACGGUA